rnacentral:rRNA from 1 species
GUCCAGACUCCUACGGGAGGCAGCAGUGGGGGAUAUUGCACAAUGGAGGAAACUCUGAUGCAGCGACGCCGCGUGGGUGAAGAAGCGCCUCGGCGCGUAAAGCCCUGUCAGCAGGGAAGAAAAUGACGGUACCUGAAGAAGAAGCCCCGGCUAACUACGUGCCAGCAGCCGCGGUAAUACGUAGGGGGCAAGCGUUAUCCGGAUUUACUGGGUGUAAAGGGGGCGCAGACGGCGAUGCAAGCCAGGAGUGAAAGCCCGGGGCCCAACCCCGGGACUGCUCUUGGAACUGCGUGGCUGGAGUGCAGGAGGGGCAGGCGGAAUUCCUGGUGUAGCGGUGAAAUGCGUAGAUAUCAGGAGGAACACCGGUGGCGAAGGCGGCCUGCUGGACUGCAACUGACGUUGAGGCCCGAAAGCGUGGGGAGCAAACAGGAUUAGAUACCCGGGUAAC